GGCUGCUCCUGCUACACUAUCCAGCAGGGGCAGCAAAACCUAGGAAUAAAAAGGAAGCAGGUUAUCUGUAACCUGCCAGUGAAGAAUUGGAGGCAGAUGCGAGAAUUCUUGGCAGCAGUGGGAUUCUGCAAGCUGUGGAUUCCUAACUUUGCAGCUCUGGCUUAAUCCCUGUAUGAAGCCACAGUAGGGGGAAAUGGAGAGCUGUCUGAGUGGCGCUUGGAGCAGCAGGGGGCCUUCUCACAGUUAAAAAAAAAAAAACAACAAACAACUGAUGUCUGCCUCGGCUCUGGGACUGCUGGACUUGACAAAACCUUUAUGCUGUAUGUGUCUGAGAGAGAAAAAAUGGCAGUAGGGGUCCUGACCCAGACUGUGGGCUCAUGGCCUUGACCUGUGGCAUACUUGUCCAAGCAACUGGAUGGAGUUUCCAAGGGAUGGCCCCUGUGUCUACAAGCCUUAGCAGCCACUGCCCUACUGGCACAAGAGGCUAACAAGCUAACUUUGGGACAGAAUUUAAAAAUAAAAGCCCCAAAAGGUGACAGUCAUGCACUGCUGAGGACAUCAAUGAACCUCCACCACAGUAGCCCAGGGAAAUGCCCAUGCAGAUGCAGAGGCCCAGAGGGCAGCAUCUAUCCCAUAUCAGGCAUCAGUUGUGGUCCCCCUACUGCCCCAGGUCCCAAAGUUGGUGCCAGUUUAUUCAGAGAAGGCAAGAAAAUUCCUUCAAACUGAAGAUGGAAAGGAAAUAAAGGGAGAAUGGAUACAUCUGCCAGAUGGACGAGUAGCAGUGCCACAAGUACUAGGACAUGCAGUGGUCUUGGCUGUCUAUGAAACCUCCCACCUUGGGCAAGAAGCCCUUAAAAAAUUGUUAGGCCAGUAUUUUUACAUCUCUCAUUUAUCUGCACUAGCAAAAACAGUGACAUAACAGUAUGUAACGGGCAGACAGCACAAUGACAGACAAGAACCUACAAUUCCACCAGGAAUCCAGGCUUAUGGAAGUGCUCCUUUUAAAGACUUGCAAGUGGACUUCAUUGGAAUGCCUAAGUGCGAGGUAACCGAUAUCUGCUGGUUCAGGUGACCGAGUUUGGAUGAGGACUGGAACACAGCUCCCCUACAACUGAGGUGGAAAGGACCCCAAAAUGUCAUUCUAACAACUCCAGCUGUCAUGAAGGUCAAGGGAGUUCCUGUGUGGAUCCAUCACAGCCAUGUGAAACCUGCAGUAUCAGACACUUGGGAAGCAAAGCCAAAUCUCCAUAACCCAUGCAAGAUCACCUUAGAAAAAACAGACAACAAGCCCUGCUCUAGUCACACCCUGGAAGCUGACUGACCUACACAAGGCUGAAGCAUGAGGACUGCCCCCAUGGGACAGGUGCUCCUUCUCUUUGGACUAUGGACUUGUAUUUUUGCUGCCCCAGUAAAUGUAAACUUCCCAUCUGAGGAUUGUUCCCAGUGCAUACAUAAGGUUGCUAAGGUAAGACAAAAGGUUACCACAGACCUCUUGUUUUACAGUUAUUAUGAAUGCACUGGAACCCUCAAAGGAACUUGUUUAUAUAAUGCUAUCCAGUACCAGGCGUGCAGCCCAGGGAACAACCAACCUGAUGUAUGUUAUAACCCAUUUGAACCUGCCAUGUCUACCAUAUUCAAAAUAAGGCUGAGAACUGGUCGCUUCUUAGGGGAUACAAGUAUUUACAAAAGCUAAGGACAAAGGAAUACCUAAGUAGGUCACCAUAAAAUUUGAUGCUUGUGCAGCUGUCAAUAGUAACAAGCAAGGGCUAGGGUGUGUCUCUCUUGGUUGAAAAAGAAGCUAUACGGCAGAGCAUAAAUACAUCUAUCUGUCUUCUCUGGGAAACAGUCAAAGACAUAGAAGAAAAAAAAUACAUCUGUCAUGACUGAUGGCCAUGCAGUGGUCAUGUUGUAACUACUGGUCAUGUGUCAUCUGGGCCACCUGAAAAAAUAAUAAAAAUAACCCAGUCCAUCUCCAAAAGGGGAGGAGUAGACCCCCCUGCACCUCUGGCUAUUGUAAUCCAUUAGAAUUAACAAUCACCAAUCCUCUGAAUCCUCGUUGGAGGAAAGGGAAAUAUGUAAUAAUGGAAAUUAAUGAAAAAGGACUGGACCCCAUGGUUAACAGUCUAAGUCAGGGAAAUAUCCAGAAAUAAUCACCCCACCCGAUGUUUCAAACUUUUAAUGAUAUAUUGAAUGAACCAGUUCCAGAACUUCCCCAGAAAGAAAGAAAUUUGUUCUUUCAGUUAGCUGA